rnacentral:rRNA from 1 species
UAUGCAUGCAGUCGAACGAACUCUGGUAUUGAUUGGUGCUUGCAUCAUGAUUUACAUUUGAGUGAGUGGCGAACUGGUGAGUAACACGUGGGAAACCUGCCCAGAAGCGGGGGAUAACACCUGGAAACAGAUGCUAAUACCGCAUAACAACUUGGACCGCAUGGUCCGAGUUUGAAAGAUGGCUUCGGCUAUCACUUUUGGAUGGUCCCGCGGCGUAUUAGCUAGAUGGUGGGGUAACGGCUCACCAUGGCAAUGAUACGUAGCCGACCUGAGAGGGUAAUCGGCCACAUUGGGACUGAGACACGGCCCAAACUCCUACGGGAGGCAGCAGUAGGGAAUCUUCCACAAUGGACGAAAGUCUGAUGGAGCAACGCCGCGUGAGUGAAGAAGGGUUUCGGCUCGUAAAACUCUGUUGUUAAAGAAGAACAUAUCUGAGAGUAACUGUUCAGGUAUUGACGGUAUUUAACCAGAAAGCCACGGCUAACUACGUGCCAGCAGCCGCGGUAAUACGUAGGUGGCAAGCGUUGUCCGGAUUUAUUGGGCGUAAAGCGAGCGCAGGCGGUUUUUUAAGUCUGAUGUGAAAGCCUUCGGCUCAACCGAAGAAGUGCAUCGGAAACUGGGAAACUUGAGUGCAGAAGA